rnacentral:tRNA from 1 species
CCGUAGCUCAGUCGGAUAGAGCGGCUGAUUCCUAAUCAGCAGGUCACAGGUUCGAAUCCUGUCGGG